GACGAACGCUGGCGGCGUGCUUAACACAUGCAAGUCGAACGGUGAAGCGCCUUCCUUUUUGGUGGGUGUGGAUGAGUGGCGAACGGGUGAGUAACACGUUAGUAACCUGCCCCCUCCUUCUGGAUAACCGCAUGAAAGUGUGGCUAAUACGGGAUAUUCUGGGUCUGUCGCAUGAUGGGUCUGGGAAGGAUAUUGUUUCGGUGGGGGAUGGGCUCGCGGCCUAUCAGCUUGUUGGUGGGGUGAUGGCCUACCAAGGCGGUGACGGGUAGCCGGCCUGAGAGGGUGGACGGCCACACUGGGGAGACGAGGCCGAGAAGACUCCGAGGGGCGGCAGCAGGGAAGAUUAUGGAACGGGGGGCGGAAGGCUGAAGCAGCGACGCCGGGGGGAGGAUGGUGUCCGGAGCGUAGUGAACUGCUAUCGGGGGAGAAGCAGUGUGGAAGCGUUUGUGGGUGGGUUGACGGUAGCUGGACAAGAAGCGCCGGCUAACUACGUG
rnacentral:rRNA from 1 species